rnacentral:rRNA from 1 species
UACGUAGGGUGCAAGCGUUUGUCCGGAAUUACUGGGCGUAAAGGGCGCGUAGGCGGCCAACUAAGUCAGACGUGAAAUCCCCUGGCUCAACCAGGGAACUGCGUCUGAUACUGGAUGGCUUGAAUCCGGGAGAGGGAUGUGGAAUUCCAGGUGUAGCGGUGAAAUGCGUAGAUAUCAGGAGGAACACCGGUGGCGAAGGCGGUUCUCUGGGAAUAUCCUGACGCUGAGGAGCGAAAGUGUGGGGAGCGAACAGG